GUGGUAUAACUCAGUGGUAAAGCAUGUGCCUCACACACAAAAGGCCCUGGGUUCAAUCCCCAGCAAACUGCA
rnacentral:tRNA from 1 species